rnacentral:rRNA from 1 species
AAUUGAAGCAGAGGACAGUGGCGGACGGGUGAGUAACGCGUGAGGAACCUGCCUUUCAGAGGGGGACGAACAGUUGGAAACGACUGCUAAUACCGCAUGACACAUAGGUGGUCGCAUGGCACUUAUGUCAAAGAUUUAUCGCUGAAAGAUGGCCUCGCGUCUGAUUAGCUAGUUGGUGAGGUAACGGCCACCAAGGCGACGAUCAGUAGCCGGACUGAGAGGUUGACCGGCCACAUUGGGACUGAGAUACGGCCCAGACUCC